rnacentral:lncRNA from 10 species
AAGGCCCUGUCAGCACUGACUAGCCACACACAGGGAGAGUCACCUAAACGUCCGAUGCCUUAGUUUCUGCCUGUAAAAUGAUAUAAGAGAGUUGAUAGAGCGGUUAAAAAAAUCAGACAAUACCAUACUAGCCUAAGCACAGCGCCUGGCACACAAAGACUCCGCAGUAAAAGGCGGCUCCUAUUAUUGGAACAAUUAGCAUAGAAACUCAACUGCCGCUCCUCCAGGUGGGCCUCAGAGGGGGUCGAACAGGACCAGACCCAGGAGGGCCCCACACCAACUUCCGGAGGGCAGGACUCUGCCUGCCAGUGAGCCCCAGAUCCAGGGACUAAGGCAGCAGGGGUGAAAGCAGGAUGGGGGCCGCCAUGACAGACGGCGGGAUCCGGCCAGCUGGCCUACGCGGUGCUUGCGAGCCUGGCGGCGCGCGCGGGCACUGGGCAUGCGCGGGGUGAGCGCGCCGCCGUCACCGCGCUCCGCUGAAUCCGCGUUUCCGGGAUUUCUCUGUAGGUGAGGCGGGAGGCUGGAGGGAGCUGAGCCCCCGGGGAGGGGGCCCGAUUCCGCCUCGCCGCGCCUCUGGCUGCUGGGCCGUGGGUUUUUCUCUUCUCCUGGGAGUAAGGAGGACGACGGCCCCUAACCCCUGAAUUAGCCUUCUAUUUCCAUUAGUGACUUAGAAGCUACCCGGCGCCUCAUCUGGGCUCACCUGAGCUGAGGAUCAGGAAGGGGAGGGGGCACAGUCAUUCCCUCGCGGACGCGGCGGGACCCCAGCGGACGGCUUUGUGCGGACUUUCGGCACCGUUAUGCCCCCCUAGCCCGACACCACCUGGGGCUGGCGCGCCACGUUACUGUUCAGGGCCAGACGCACCGCCCUGCCUGCUCCGGGGAGCCGGACCUCCGAUCCCGGGGAUGGGGGACCCCGAGACCUCAGACCCAACGGAGGGGACUCUGAUACCUCAGACCCCACGCGGGGACCCCGAGGCUUCAGACCCCCACAGGGUGACCCCGAGAUCUCAGACCCCCGCAGGAGUACCUCCAGACCUCAAAUCCCCAGUAAGGGAAUGAAAGAGACUUCGGAUCCCUGAGGCAGCAAAUCCCUGUAGGGGCAUCCCAGGACUCAGGUCACCGCGGGGUGAACCCAGACCUCACAUUCAGGCAAUCCCCAGGACGCCGAUCGGCUGGCACUACCCACUGUCCCGGCCACCCCCCCUGGAGCUCAAAGGCUUGGCCCUCCAGCUGCUCCACCCUGCCGGCAACCAGGCUCAAACCUGCAGCCCGCGGAUCCCCUGCCCCGGAAGCAACCAGAUUCGCGGGAGGUUACCUGACUGAUCCAAGGCAGUUUCUCACUCCGUUGCCCAGGCUGGAAUGCAGUGGUGUAAUCACAGCUCACUGCAGCCUCAACCUACUGGACUCAAAGGAUAAGAUCUGCUUUUAAUUAAUUUUUGUAUACGAACACUUGCAUCUUCCAGGCUCUGCUCCAGAAAAUAACCAUGACUCCAACAUACCACUACCAUCCUCACUAAAGAUGGAACCCCACAUCUAGAAAACCUCAUGACUGGCUUGCCCUCUGGACUUAAAAAAACUGGGUUUAUAUUCUGCUCUGAACAUUAAUCAUUGUUUUUAUUUUGUUUCCUUGUUCUAAUCUAUGUUUCUUCCCUUAUAUUCAGGACAUAGAACAUUCAAGAACCAGCAAUGUUUCAAACAAAGGCCAUUUAAAAAAUCAUAACCAUUGUUUAUCAGUCACCUCAGUUCCAUAUGAUUAAUUCUGGCCUUGCUUGAUCUUGGAUUAGCAGUGUCAUGAACCCAUCAGCUUUUCAACUAGAGUUCUGGAAAUCCUUCCUCAGGGCAGUGGUAUGAGAUUAAAGUUAUUUAAGCAAUGUCAUCAGAAGCCUGUACCCCACAGUACUGUUACAGGCCUUUCCAUGGAUCUUAGAGAAACAGUCCUUUUUGUUGAAGAUGAAGUAUUCUGGCUAAUAACUGAUCGCUAGAGCUUUCAGGAAAGUACCAGAGUAAAAUAAUAACUGCGAAUGACAAAAAGGCAAAAAUGGCCAUGGUAAAGAUCGGAUGAAGGUUUAUUUUAAUUCUGUUAACAAGGAAAAUCAGUUUUUUUGUGGCAUACAUUUAAAAUCAUAACUGUAAUCAUGACUGAUAAUAUUAUACCAGGACAUAUUAUGGUUAUCAAGGGCAUUGACAAAUUUCUAGGAACUUUAUUCAGUUUCUGAAAUAAUAACAUUUAUCCAUGCAAAUACCACCUAAGGAAGGUUAAGUAUCUUUUCUUGACAGUGAGUGCCUCCCGUGCAAUUUAACAUAUUGAAUAAACCUAAUUAGUUUAACAUCUCUCUUUUUACAAAAUGAGAGAACAAAUAUUUUGAGAUCUUCUAGGGACCCUUUGGAAAAUCUCAAAGUCAGUUCAAAGUUAAAAAAAUUUCAUUUAGAAUUUCAUUUGGGGAAGUUGUCAAAAAUGCCAAAAGCGUUGAACACUUGAUUAAAUAGGAUCACAGGUCACUGUGAAACAACACUUAAUUAUCCAUUUAAUUAAACUGACAAUAAAAAUAGCCAUAGGAGAUUCUAUGAUUGUAAGAAAAAAAUAGCUUUUUUUUUAAGGUGAGAAGAUUUAGUUGUCUUAAAUAAUCAAAGACAUGAUAAAGCACCAGAAAUUAUUCUAAUAAAACACAGUCACUGAUUUCUAGGUGGUAUUAAUGAAAAAAAAAUGUUCUUAAAGUUGUUGAAACAGUAAAUACUUUUUUUUUUUUUAAUUUAAGACAGGAGAUUUAUUAUUACUCAAAUCAGUCUCCCCAAGGAGCAUCCAGGGAUCAGAGUUUUGAAGGAUAACUUGCUGGGCCGGGGGCAGCCAGUGAGUCAGGAGUGCUGAUUGGUCAGGUUGGAAAUGAAAUCACAGGGAGUCAAAGCAGUCUUCUUGCGCUGAGUCAGUUACUGGGUGGUGGCCACAAGAUCAGAUGAGCCCGAUUAUCCAUCUGGGUGGGGCCAGCUGAUCCAUCAAGUGCAGGGUCUGCAAUGUAUCUCAAGCGCUGAUCUUAGGAGCAGUUUUGGGAGGGUCAGAAUCUUCUAGCCUCCAACUGCAUGACUCCUAAACCAUAGUUUCUAAUCUUGUGGCUAAUUUAUGAGUCCUACAAAGGCAGUCUAGUCCCUAGGCAAGAAGGAGGUUUGUUUUUGGAAAGGACUGUUAUUCUCUUGGUUGUAAACUAUAAACACUAAGCUAAGUUCCUCCCAAAGUUAGUUCAGCCUAUGCCUGGGAAAGAACAAGGACAGCUUGGAGGUUAGAAGCAAGAUGGAGUUGGUUAGGUCAGAUCUCCUUCACUGUCCCAGUUACAAUUUUGCAGUGGCUGUUUCAAUCCCUCCCUUUGGUUUUUUUGUUUGUUUGUUUUUGGUGCGAUUUUGGCUUACCGCAACCUCCACCUCCCGGGUUCAAGCAAUUCUCCUGCCUCAGCCUCCCGAGUACCUGGGACUACAGGCAUGCACCACCACGCCUGGCUAAUUUGUUGUAUUUUUAGUAGAGAUGGGGUUUCACCAUGUUGGCCAGGCUGGUCUCGAACUCCUGACCUCAAGUGAUCCACCUGCCUUGGCCUCCCAAAAUGUUGAGAUUAUAACCAUAAGCCACCGCUCCCAGACUCCUUUUGGAUUUUAUAACACCUUAAUCUUAAGGUGUUGGCUAAUGAAAAUUGAAAAAGGGCGAAGGCUGCUCUAACUUCUUCCUGCCGAUCUGAGGCAUAGUAGGGGUAGGCGUUAACCCCAAAGUGAGAGAAAUGGAACUGCUUUGCAACUGUGUGAGCGUACUCAUGCAGGCCUGGCUGGGGUUCCAAGGCUCGCAUGGCAAAGGCAUUAGUAUUAACAUCUAUAGUUUUAGUACUGCAUUUGAGGGAACAGUGACUAUCAGGUAGAUAAUGAAUACUAGGGUGAGGAGUGCAAUUCCCAGUUUCAAAAGUAAAGAUUUGAAAGCAUUAGUUUGGGGACUUUUAGCCCACAGAGAAUUUAGGAUUUAGUCCAAACUGAAGGAAAAAUUCAAGAACAGCUAACAAAAGGUGUACUGUAACUUUUGUUUUUUUUUAGAUGGAGUGUCACUCUGUUGCCAGGCUGAAGUGUAGUGGCAAGAUCUGGGCUCACUGCAACCUCCACCUCGCGGGUUUAAGCAACUCUCCUGCCUCAGUCUCCCAAGUAGCUGGGACUACAGGUGCAUGCACACCACCACGCCCAGCUAAUUUUUGUAUUUUUAGUAGAGAUGGGAGUUCUCCAUGUUGGCCAGGAUGGUAUCAAUCUCUUGACCUCGUGAUCCAACUGCCGUGGCCUCCCAAAGUGCUGGGAUUAUGGGCAUGGGCCACCACGCCCAGCCUAUAAGUCUUUUUUAAGUAUAAUUUUUCUCUUUCCAAUCCUCAUUUUUUUCUUUUCUUUUUUUUUUUUUUUGAGACAGAGUCUCACUCUGUUGACCAGGCUGGAGUGCAGUGGCGCAAUCUCGGCUCACUGCAAGCUCUGCCUCCCGGGUUCACACCAUUCUCCUGCCUCAGCCUCCCGAGUAGCUGGGACUACAGGCGCCCGCCACCACGCCCGGUUAAUUUUUUGUAUUUUUAGUAGAGAUGGGGUUUCACCGUUUUAGCCAGGAUGGUCUCGAUCUGCUGACAUCGUGUUCCACCUGCCUCGGCCUCCCAAAGUGCUGGGAUUACAGGCGUGAGCUACCGCACCCGGCCCCCCAAUCAUCAUUUUUAUUAAAAACAAAUAAUGAUAGGACUGAUUGGUUUGCAAAAUAAACUUUUAUUGUACUUGGCCUGGUUAUUUGCAUAAAGCACAGCAAAAAUAAUUAUUUUUCAUAUAGGAUUUUUAAAUUGGCUUUGAUGGAGCUCUGUUCUAUAAGGAAUCUCAGAUAAGACUUUUUAAAAGCUGAGCCCUGCCAUGGGUUUAUACCGUCAAAUACCUAUGAGUUAGGUAAAUUAUUCUUCUCUUGAGGUGCCAAGAUAACUUGGGGCUCCUCGGCCUGUUAGAAAGUGCCAUUCUUUACUUAUCACAGGUCAGAAACCUUAUACAGGGACUGUGUAAAGAAAAUAUGAGGCCAGAUUUCCCAAGAGGCUUUUAUUGGCUCUGUAAAUCAACUUUGAUUCCUUAAAGAAAGCAUGCCAUUCCAGUCAAAGCCUUGGUAAAAUAACCAGUUUCUACAAUCGUGUCCUGUUACAAAAGAAAACAGAUUCUUAUCAUGCUUAUGCAAAUGUCUAUACUACCAUAAAUUGAGAAUACUCACAAAUAGUUCCCAAAUUCUGGAGAAGUCAGGUAGAAAGAAAUAUGCUCCAAAUUUUGUUCACAGGAGUAUAUUUUACCAAUUGUUAAAGGCUGUAAAUAGCUCAAAAGAUAAGUUUUCUUAGUUCUGGAUAAGAAAAAGGAUCAGCAACAUUUUAAGCAAAAAAGUAAAAAAAAAAAAAAAAAGGUUACUUCAGUCUUUUAUUAGUUCAGUCCAUUCAGUUAACUUUUGUUCUGCUUCAUAUCCAUGAACAUUUCAGCUCUCCAUGAGAGUCCUGAAAGUUUUUCCCCUUUACACUUGUGUCAUCAUCAUCUCCAAAGUUAUCAGAAACUUGCAUUCAAGAGUACCUGUCAAAGUUUUAUAGCUGAUUAUAAAACCACCUUCCAAAGUGGAUCAAAAUGAGACAAUUGCCUUGGAUGACAAAAAUAUUUUAGGGCAGCCACAGUUAAAAACACAAUUGGGCUGCGUGCAGUGGCUAACGCCUGAAAUCCCAGCACUUUGGGAGACUGAGGCAGGCGGGUCACGAGGUCAGGAGAUCAAGACCAUCCUGGCUA